GUUUCUUACAUCAGGAGUGAAGUUUUUUAAUUGUGUACCCUGAACCCCCGCUCACCAGAUGGAUAGCUGAAAACAGGCUACUGUACCUCCCGAGUUAGCCUUCUAAAAACCCUGCCUGCAUGGGGGAAGGUAAGGAGGAAAAGGAGAAUGUACAGAGUAUUACCAGAAAUUAGCCAAUACCGACACAAGCCCAAUUAAUUCCCUUUUUGGGUCUCUGUUGGCUGUUCUUGAACGUGAGUAAAUGCUGUGCUGCGAGGGAGACACCGCAUAGUGCGAUCUCAGCACCACUGCCAGGCGAAGGACAGACACUGCAAAUUAAAAUAUUCCUAAUGUGGAGUGGAAGACAAUGCCUGCAUUUAUGGUUAACUAUAAGUGAUACACUAGGAAGAUGA
rnacentral:lncRNA from 1 species